rnacentral:rRNA from 1 species
GACGAACGCUGGCGGCGUGCUUAACACAUGCAAGUCGAGCGGUAAGGCCCUUUCGGGGGUACACGAGCGGCGAACGGGUGAGUAACACGUGGGUGACCUGCCCUCAGCUCUGGGAUAAGCCUGGGAAACCGGGUCUAAUACCGGAUAUGACUCCAUGACGCAUGUUGUGGGGUGGAAAGCCUUGUGCGGCUGAGGAUGGGCCCGCGGCCUAUCAGCUUGUUGGUGGGGUGAUGGCCUACCAAGGCGACGACGGGUAGCCGGCCUGAGAGGGCGACCGGCCACACUGGGACUGAGACACGGCCCAGACUCCUACGGGAGGCAGCAGUGGGGAAUCUUGCGCAAUGGGACGAAAGCCUGACGCAGCGACGCCGCGU